rnacentral:rRNA from 1 species
AUUAAACGCUGGCGGCAUGCCUUACACAUGCAAGUCGAACGGCAGCACGGGGGCAACCCUGGUGGCGAGUGGCGAACGGGUGAGUAACGCAUCGGAACGUGCCCUGGAGUGGGGGAUAACGUAGCGAAAGUUACGCUAAUACCGCAUAUUCUGUGAGCAGGAAAGCAGGGGAUCGCAAGACCUUGCGCUCUGGGAGCGGCCGAUGUCGGAUUAGCUAGUUGGUGGGGUAAAGGCCUACCAAGGCGACGAUCCGUAGCGGGUCUGAGAGGAUGAUCCGCCACACUGGGACUGAGACACGGCCCAGACUCCUACGGGAGGCAGCAGUGGGGAAUUUUGGACAAUGGGCGCAAGCCUGAUCCAGCCAUGCCGCGUGAGUGAAGAAGGCCUUCGGGUUGUUAAAGGCUCUUUCGG